rnacentral:rRNA from 1 species
CAGGGAAUUUUGCACAAUGGACGAAAGUCUGAUGCAGCGACGCCGCGUGGGGGAUGAAGGCCUUCGGGUUGUAAACCCCUUUCAGGAGGGACGAAGCGAAAGUGACGGUACCUCCAGAAGAAGCCCCGGCCAACUACGUGCCAGCAGCCGCGGUAAUACGUAGGGGGCGAACGUUGUCCGGAUUUAUUGGGCGUAAAGAGCUCGUAGGCGGCUCAGCAAGUCGGCCGUGAAAGUCCGGGGCUCAACCCCGGGAUGCCGGUCGAUACUGCUGUGGCUAGGGUCCGGUAGAGGAGAGUGGAAUUCCCGGUGUAGCGGUGAAAUGCGCAGAUAUCGGGAGGAGCACCAGUAGCGAAGGCGGCUCUCUGGGCCGGUACCGACGCUGAGGAGCGAAAGCUAGGGGAGCGAACAGGAUUAGAUACCCUGGUAGUCCUAGCCGUAAACGUUGGGCACUAGGUGUGGCGGACUCAUUGACGUCUGCCGUGCCGCAGCUAACGCAUUAAGUGCCCCGCU